rnacentral:rRNA from 1 species
CAGUAGCCACGGGAACACGAAGGGUGCAAGCGUUAAUCGGAAUUGCUGGGCGUAAAGCGUGCGUAGGCGGUUUGUUAAGUCUGUUGUGAAAUCCCCGGGCUCAACCUGGGAAUGGCAAUGGAUACUGGCAAGCUAGAGUGUGUCAGAGGAUGGUGGAAUUCCCGGUGUAGCGGUGAAAUGCGUAGAGAUCGGGAGGAACAUCAGUGGCGAAGGCGGCCAUCUGGGACAACACUGACGCUGAGGCACGAAAGCGUGGGGAGCAAACAGGAUUAGAUACCCCUGUAGUCCCUGUCUCUUAUAC